UAGUGUAUUGGACUACCAUGGCAGUCACGGGUAACGGGGAAUUAGGGUUCGAUUCCGGAGAGGGAGCCUGAGAAACGGCUACCACUUCUAAGGAAGGCAGCAGGCGGGUAAAUUACCCAAUCCUGAUUCAGGGAGGUAGUGACAAGAAAUAACAACUCGGAUCACUCUGUGAUUGCGAGAUUGCAAUGAGAACAAUUUAAACCACUUAUCAAGUAACAAUUGGAGGGCAAGUCUGGUGCCAGCAGCCGCGGUAAUUCCAGCUCCAAUAGCGUAUAUUAAAGUUGUUGCAGUUAAAAAGCUGGUAGUUGAAUUUCUGGCCAAUCUCAUGCUGCGCAUCUUGCCGGUAUGAGGUUUGGUCAUCCGUAGGGGAAGCUAGUACGUACUUCAAUGGACGGCUAGGGGAACCUACAAUUUACUGUGAAAAAAUUAGAGUGUUUCAGGCAGGCAAUCGCUUGGAUACUCCAGCAUGGAAUAAUGGAAUAGGACUUUGGUCUAUUUGUUGGUUUGAGAUCAAAGUAAUGAUUAAUAGGGACAGUUGGGGGCAUUCGUAUUUAAUUGUCAGAGGUGAAAUUCUUGGAUUUAUUAAAGACGGACUUAUGCGAAAGCAUUUGCCAAGGAGGUUUUCAUUUAUAAUCAACGAAAGUUAGGGGAUCAAAGAAGAUC
rnacentral:rRNA from 1 species